AGAAUCAACGCUGGCGGCGUGCCUAACACAUGCAAGUCGAACGAGAAAGUGGGAGCAAUCCCAUGAGUAAAGUGGCGCACGGGUGAGUAACACGUGACUAACCUACCCUUGAGUGGGGGAUAACCUAGAGAAAUCUGGGCUAAUACCGCAUAAUAUCUUCGGGUCAAAGGAGCAAUUCGCUUAAGGAGGGGGUCGCGGCCGAUUAGUUAGUUGGCGGGGUAAUGGCCCACCAAGACUGUGAUCGGUA
rnacentral:rRNA from 1 species